UACGGAGGGUGCAAGCGUUGUUCGGAAUCACUGGGCGUAAAGGGCGUGUAGGCGGUCCGCUAAGUCUGAUGUGAAAGCCCGAGGCUUACCCUCGGAAGUGCAUUGGAGACUGGCGGACUGGAGUCCCGGAGAGGAGGGUGGAAUUCCUGGUGUAGCGGUGAAAUGCGCAGAUAUCAGGAGGAACACCGGUGGCGAAGGCGGUUCUCUGGGCAUGUCCUGACGCUGAGGAGCGAAAGUGUGGGGAGCGAACAGG
rnacentral:rRNA from 1 species